UGGGGAAUAUUGCACAAUGGGGGAAACCCUGCUGCAGCGACGCAGCGUGCGGGAUGACGGCCUUCGGGUUGUAAACCGCUUUCAGCAGGGAAGAAGCCUCACGGUGACGGUACCUGCAGAAGAAGUACCGGCUAACUACGUGCCAGCAGCCGCGGUAAUACGUAGGGUACGAGCGUUGUCCGGAAUUAUUGGGCGUAAAGAGCUCGUAGGUGGUUGGUCACGUCUGCUGUGGAAACGCAACGCUUAACGUUGCGCGUGCAGUGGGUACGGGCUGACUAGAGUGCAGUAGGGGAGUCUGGAAUUCCUGGUGUAGCGGUGAAAUGCGCAGAUAUCAGGAGGAACACCGGUGGCGAAGGCGGGACUCUGGGCUGUAACUGACACUGAGGAGCGAAAGCAUGGGGAGCGAACA
rnacentral:rRNA from 1 species